GAUGAACGCUGGCGGCAUGCCUAACACAUGCAAGUCGAACGAAGGCUUCGGCCUUAGUGGCGCACGGGUGCGUAACGCGUGGGAAUCUACCCUUGGGUUCGGAAUAACUCGCCGAAAGGCGUGCUAAUACCGGAUAAUGACGUAAGUCCAAAGAUUUAUCGCCCGAGGAUGAGCCCGCGUAGGAUUAGCUAGUUGGUGUGGUAAAGGCGCACCAAGGCGACGAUCCUUAGCUGGCUGAGAGGAUGAUCAGCCACACUGGGACUGAGACACGGCCCAGACUCCUACGGGAGGCAGCAGUGGGGAAUAUUGGACAAUGGGCGAAAGCCUGAUCCAGCAAUGCCGCGUGAGUGAUGAAGGCCUUAGGGUUGUAAAGCUCUUUUACCCGGGAUGAUAAUGACAGUACCGGGAGAAUAAGCUCCGGCUAACUCCGUGCCAGCCGCCGCUGUAAU
rnacentral:rRNA from 1 species